rnacentral:lncRNA from 1 species
CCAGUUUUGCCUUCCGUCCCAACUAUCAAAAUUCUGUUCCGCCUUCUCUUCCAAAUUCGUAACGGGUUAAAAAAUAUAUUCUAUAAUUCGCUCCGCCUCACAACUCACCUUCUCCCAGCGGCCCGAAUCUGCUUCGCCAAUUAAUAUUUAAAAAAAAUAUAUAAUAUUAUUAAAUAUUUGAUAAAAUAUAAAUUAGUGUUUUUUUAAUAAUAAUGAAUAAUAUUACUAAGUUUAUAUAUAUAUAUAUAUAUAUAUAUAUAUAUAUAUAUAUAUAUUAACAAUAUCAAUCAUAAAUCGAAAUAAAAUUUAAAAGUUUCAAAUAUAUGAUAAAUGAGAGCACCAACUUAUUUGUAUUUUAGACUUUUUGAUAAAUAUACUAUUCUUAGGGAUAUUUUUUUAAAGGGGUAAUUGCCUAUAUACUCCUCAUACGUUUGAAAAUAUCCGAUUUACCUCUAUUUUUUUUUUGUCUUUCUAAAAUACCCGUCAUAUGUUUCACCGUUAUUACAAAAUACCCCCGCAGUUAUUUCCUGUUAAGUUAAUUUGGGUUAAACGUGAGUUAAAUAUCUACCACAGUUAAAAAAAAAUAAAAUGUUAAUUUUGCCCUUAACUUAAGGGCAAAUAAGAAAUGUUGGUGACGGUAAAGGUGUAUAUUGGAAAAGACCAAAAGUCAAAAUACUUUUGUGCCCCUGACUUUAAGGACAAAUAAGAAAGUCAGUGAUGAUGGAAGGGUAUAUUUGAAAUGGCAAAAUAGUAAUUUUACAGAGAUAACAUAGUUCAUUAAUAGAUUUUAACUUUAGGGGUAUAUUAGAAAUAUGUUGGAACGUAGAAAGGGUAUCAAUAUUAGCCUUCUAAGAGGGGUAAAUCGGAAAGUCAAGAACUUUUCAAAGGUAUAUAAGUAAUUGCCCAUUUUUUUAAAUAUAAACGGUUUUCGGAACGGAUUCGGGGCAGAUUAUGGCGGGACGGAUUCGAAGCCGGUCAAAAUUUUUUUCAUUUCCUCCAAAACCAUCUCGGAUCAUAAAAAUUAUUUUCUUUUCUGUCCCGAAUCCAUUUAUUUCUUCCAGUUUAUUGCUCCAUUCGGGGUGGACCGGGGCAAGAGCUCCAUCAAUCCGGAUCCGUUUGCAUCCCUAGUAAUCAUCAACA